rnacentral:lncRNA from 1 species
GAGAGAGAGAGAGGAAAAAAGACUUCUUUAUCUUUUUUUCCUUGUUAAGAAUGGAGGGGGAGAGAGAGAGGGAGAGGGAAAAAAGAGAGCUUUUUUUUCCUUUUCUUUAAGAUGGGGAGGGAGCAUGGAUGGAGAGAGAGGAGGAGGAAUUGAGAGGAAGGGAAAAGGCUGGACUGUGAUGGAGCCCACGCUGGGUUGGUAACAAGGGGGGCUAGGAAAGAGGAGGAAGGGAAAAGAGAGAGAAAAAAUAAGGUGCAUGCAUUGGUUUCAAAAUUUACUCAUUUUUGCCGGCUAUUAUUGUUGUGAUUAUUUUUCCUCUUGGCUUGUUUGGGAGAAGCCAAGGGUGUUUAGAAGGAAAGGUAAACAUAUUUUCCCCACAUGCUAUGAAUUGGAUUCCCUUCUCAUUUUGUCCCUCCCUCCCAUGUUAUUUUUCAAAGAUGGGAAGGCAUGAUUACAAUUACAAUGAUUAUAUUUAGAAGGUGGUGCUCCUCUUGUGCGUCAUCCUCUCUAUUGCAAGGGGAGUGCAUCAUUCAAAAAAGAGGGGUGGUUUAUUUGUUAUCUUAGGAG